UACGGGGGGGGCAAGCGUUGUUCGGAAUUACUGGGCGUAAAGGGCUCGUAGGCGGCCAACUAAGUCGGAUGUGAAAUCCCCAGGCUCAACUUGGGAACUGCAUCCGAUACUGGAUGGCUUGAAUCCGGGAGAGGGAUGCAGAAUUCCAGGUGUAGCGGUGAAAUGCGUAGAGAUGUGGAGGAACACCGAUGGCGAAGGCAGCCCCCUGGGUCAACACUGACGCUCAUGCACGAAAGCGUGGGGAGCAAACAGG
rnacentral:rRNA from 1 species